CAAUGAAUGAGGCUCCGUUGUUUCAACGCAUUCAAAGGAUCACGGCCAUUUGCGACUAAAAAGCCCUAUACAGAUUGACCAACUAUGGUUUGCAUGCCCUGCCGAAGGACCCUAUCAUCAUGCGGAAUAGGUGGUUGAAGUUGGUUGGUCCCCAGUGGUGACAAAGUGCCCAGUUGGGGGCCAGACUGAUCCCCUGGCCAUGAACAGUUGGGUGCCAGACUGAUCCCCUGGUCAACAGAUGCCAGGACCUACCAGAAGGAGCAAAGCUUGUCAGGCAAGACCUCAGAAUAAAAGUGAGUGAUGCUUCACACGUACCCUUCUGACACCUCCUCCGUUGUUGCCAGUCUGACACCUCCUCCGUUGUUGCCAGUCUGACACCUCCUCCGUUGUUGCCAGUCUGACACCUCCUCCAUUGUUGCCAGUCUGACACCUCCUCCAUUGUUGCCAGUCUGACACCUCCUCCAUUGUUGCCAGUCUGACACCUCCUCCAUUGUUGCCAGUCUGACACCUCCUCCAUUGUUGCCAGUCUCCCUCCACUCCAAUGAAUAGGAUACGCCAUCAUGAGGCAUCUGAUAGUGACGGCCCUGAUUACACAGACGGCUUCAUCAACGGGUAACCCUAACCCUAACCCUAACCCUAACCCUAACCCUAACCCUAACCCAAUGAAUAGGAUACGCCAUCAUGAGGCAUCUGAUAGUGACGGCCCUGAUUACACAGACGGCUUCAUCAACGGGUAACCCUAACCCUAACCCUAACCCUAACCCAAUGAAUAGGAUAGGCCAUCAUGAGGCAUCUGAUAGUGACAGCCCUGAUUACACAGACGGCUUCAUCAACGGGUAACCCUAACCCUAACCCUAACCCUAACCCAAUGAAUAGGAUACGCCAUCUUGAGGCAUCUGAUAGUGACGGCCCUGAUUACACAGACGGCUUCAUCAACGGGUAACCCUAACCCUAACCCUAACCCUAACCCUAACCCUAACCCUAACCCAAUGAAUAGGAUAGGCCAUCAUGAGGCAUCUGAUAGUGACGGCCCUGAUUACACAGACGGCUUCAUCAACGGGUAACCCUAACCCUAACCCUAACCCUAACCCUAACCCAAUGAAUAGGAUACGCCAUCAUGAGGCAUCUGAUAGUGACGGCCCUGAUUACACAGACGGCUUCAUCAACGGGUAACCCUAACCCUAACCCUAACCCUAACCCAAUGAAUAGGAUACGCCAUCAUGAGGCAUCUGAUAGUGACGGUCCUGAUUACACAGACGGCUUCAUCAACGGGUAACCCUAACCCUAACCCUAACCCUAACCCUAACCCUAACCCAAUGAAUAGGAUACGCCAUCAUGAGGCAUCUGAUAGUGACGGCCCUGAUUACACAGACGGCUUCAUCAACGGGUAACCCUAACCCUAACCCUAACCC